rfam:Zootermopsis nevadensis contig23799, whole genome shotgun sequence.
GAUACGGUGGUCUAGCGGUUAGAACGCUGGCCUUGUAAUCCUGGGGUCUCGGGUUCGAUUCCCGGCGGUGCCC